rnacentral:rRNA from 1 species
GACGAACGCUGGCGGCGUGCUUAACACAUGCAAGUCGUACGGUAAGGCCCUUUCGGGGGUACACGAGUGGCGAACGGGUGAGUAACACGUGAGUAACCUGCCCACCACUUUGGGAUAACGCUAGGAAACUGGUGCUAAUACUGGAUAUGUGCUCCUGCUGCAUGGUGGGGGUUGGAAAGCUCCGGCGGUUGUGGAGGGACUCGCGGGCUAUCAGCUUGUUGGUGGGGUAGUGGCCUACCAAGGCGGCGACGGGUAGCCGGCCGGAGAGGGUGACCGGCCACAUUGGGACUGAGAUACGGCCCAGACGGCUACGGGAGGAAGCAGUGGGGAAUAUUGCACAAUGGGUGCAAGCCUGAUGCAGCAACGCCGCGUGCGGGAUGACGGCCUUCGGGUUGUAAACCGCUUUCAGCAGGGACGAAGCUUUUUGUGACGGUACCUGCAGAAGAAGCACCGGCUAACUACGUG